UUUUUUUUUUUAAUCGUGAUGAUAAACUUGAAUUUUCCUAAGCACAAUAGAGAAUUGAAAGUAAAGUAUUUGAAAUAGUGUCAAAAGUCAAAACUGUGUCGACUAAAAAACAAGUAACUAAACUUGUGUAAGUGACGAGUAUGGUGUUUUACUUAUGUUUAUCCUUGCUUUGUUUAAGGUGGAGGAAAAUUUGAGGAUUCUGUUUUCAUGGAGAUGAUGAUGUCCGCUAUCAUAGAACACGGUCUUCCAUUGACAUUGUUUGAGCAUAGUGGCACUAGAGACGUCUUGGCCAAUCUAAAGCCGAAUGUUAAACACAUUAGUACAGAUGCGGCCAAGGGAAAGUGUAUGGAAGCGUAUGAAAGGGAGAGAGCCAAGUUUAAACAUGAUUUGGGGAGUAUUUCGGGUAGAUUAUGUUUGACAAUCGAUAUUUGGGUGGAUCCUUGUACUAAUGACUACCUUUGCUUGACCGCGAAUUAUGUGGAUUCUAAUUGGAAAUUGCAAAGCAAGUUUUUAAAUCUUUUUCGCUUGUCUUUUCCGUGGGGUGCAUCUAGCCUGCGAUCAGCAGUUUACGAUGUAUUGUGCAAGUGGGGAAUCGAGAAGAAAGUAUUUUCUAUCACUUUCGAUAGUGGAAGGUGUGAUGAGACUGUACAAGACCUGUUAAGGGAGUGUCUUAAUGGGAAAGAUGGAGCUUUACUUUGCAAUGGUGACUAUCUUCAUGUUUGUUGUGGGGCUUGCUUCAUGGAUCAUAUGGGCGAAGAGUGUUUCAAGCUGAUUGAUAGCCCUAUAAGUAAGAUCAGAGAGGGUGUGCAUUACAUAAUGGGUCAUGAGAAGAACAGACUCAAGUUUGAAGAAGCUGCAUUACUCAUAUUCCAAGGUGAAUUUGAGCCUUUGUGGUCAGAUAGCUACUUAAGAUGGAAUUCCACUUAUUUGUUGCUCGAGAGGGCAGUUAAGUAUCGGUAUGCCUUUGAACAUGUGAUGAUUGAUGACGAGUAUACUGAUUGGCAUUUGACAGUAGAAGAGUGGUCUAGGGUUGAAAAGAUGUGUAAGCUUCUGAAGCCUCUUUAUGACACAGCAAAUCUGUUUUUUAGGCACUGAACACCCAACAGCCAAUUUAUACUUUAUAAAUGUUCUGAAGAUUGGUUUGCUCCUUGUGGAUGCAUUGGAGGAUAAAUACCUUGAGAUAAGUAACUUGGCACGAAGGUUGAAGGGUGAAUUUGAUGUGUACUGGGAUGCUUGUCAUGAAGUUCUUGCGUUGGCUAUAGUAUUUGAUCCUCGCUACAAACUCAGCUUUGUCAAGUUUUGUUAGACAAGGCAAGUGCAGAGAACAGGUAUGAGUGCACCCGUAAACGGCUUGAUAGGCUCUUCAAAAGUUACAAUGAUCAACUGUUUGAAUCACACUCAAAUGAAAUGAAAGAUGAUAUUAUCAAGGGGUUUGACAUAUAUUGCAGAACGAAGGAAAACAACUCAGUUAGCUCAAGUCUGAAUUUGUACUUGAAUGAACCGAGUGUCCGCUGCCAGAAACAGAUGGAUGUUCCCUCUUGGUGGAAGGAAAAUGAACCGCGUUUUGGACAAGAACUAACCCUUAUGGCAAGGGAUAUAUUAAGCAUCCCUAUUACCUCGUUUCCUAAGGAUUCAGUUUUUGGCAUGGGCUACAGAGUUAAAGACAGAUUGAAAGGUGACUGGUAUUCCAAGUGUACAGAAGCGCUGAUAGCUACUCGAAACUGGUUAUACGGAUACCCAGUUGAACCUGCUUACCCUGGAGGACUUAUGGGCAUUGAACAGCGAUUUUGGCGUACCUCAGGUGAGGAAGAGUCUGAUUGAACGUUCCGGAAGUAAAAUUGCUAAUUUUAAACUGCUGUACUUUCUGACAGAUUUUAGCUGCAAUAAUGGGAGUUUUUGUACUGAUAUAUGUGCAUGUUUUUGCAAUCAGAACAUUACCU